CUUAAUAUUACAUUAUGGAAAUUAAAAGGACCAAACCAAGCUUUACAUGACCAAAUGCUAAGAUUUUUCUCUCUUGUCCCAAAUUAAGUGUCACCAAGUACAAUGAACAGUGUCCUAAACUAUCUUUACGUAUUCUCCAAGUGGCUAAAUCAUAGGUGAUCAUUUGCUAGCUAAGUGGAUGGUAUGGAGUUGUUAAACUACCCUCUAUGAACCUAUGUAUCCUUCCAUUACACCAUGGACUCCAAGAUUGUGUAAUGUCAAGAUCUAGUCCAUGCUCUUUCUAUAAAUAUAAGCUACAAGUUCAGUUUUUGUGUUGCUUAAAAACUUGUCUGGUAAUUCUAAGUGUAGAGUAUAAGUUUCUGAGCUAUUUUAGAAGCAUACUCAGAGUGUAGGAAGUUCAAUUCAAGCUCAAGGAGGUAUAAUUUCUAAUUAUGUUCUUGAGAUGGGUCUUGUUUGAUUCUUGUAAUUUCUUAAAAUUCUAUGUUAAUCAAGAUGAAGUAGCAUA
rnacentral:lncRNA from 1 species